rnacentral:rRNA from 1 species
CUCAAAGUUAAAGCUUAUUUAUGUUAGAUUAGUUUACAAUUUUUAUUGGGAAAAAUAAUUUUAAAGUUGUUUGUUAGUAGUAGUUUUUAACGAGAUAAUAUUAGGUGAUAGUGAAUAGUAUUGUAAAAGAAGGUGAAAUUUAUGCUUGUAUUAGGAAAAAGUAAUCAUUAAGUUAUGUACCUUGUGUAUUAUGGGAUUUCUAACUGAAGAUAAUAACGAAUCUAAUCCCGAAAAAAAAGGAGCUAAUUAUUAAGUGAAGUUUUUGUGGUAACAAAAUUUUGAACUUAUGGGUUAGAGGUGAAACGCUAGUCGGAUUUUUAUAUCUGGUUUUUUAAAAAAUAAAUUUAAUUUAGUCUGAGAUUUGAAAAAAAUCUGGGAUUAAGAAUAAUAGGGUAAAGCUUAUUAUUCAAUAAUAUAUUAUUAAUAAAGUGUGUAUAACUGCAAUUAUUGAAGUAGGCUUAAGAGUAGCUAUCUUUUUUUAGUGUCUUAACUAGUUUAUUAUGUUGCGUAGCAUUUAUUAACUUUUUAUGUAUAGUAUUAAAAAAUAAAUAGUAAUUUGAUAUGUUUAGUUAUUUUGAAAUUAUUAGUAUAAUUGAAUUUAUGUUAUCCUACUUGUGUUUAACGAUAUAAAGGUUUUACUUGGUUAAAAGUUUACUUAAAGAACUCGGCAAAAAUAGUUUUCGCCUGUUUAACAAAAACAUGUCUUUAUGGAGUUAUAUAAAGUCUAGCCUGCCCACUGAAUUAUUAAAGGGCCGCGGUAUUUCUGACCGUGCGAAGGUAGCAUAAUCACUAGUCUUUUAAUUGGAGGCUUGAAUGAAUGGUUGGACGAAAAACUUACUGUUUCAAGUAAAAAAUUUGAAUUUAACUUUUAAGUGAAAAGGCUUAAAUAAAUUAAAAAGACGAUAAGACCCUAUAAAUCUUUACAUUUUAUUUUAUGUUCUUGGAGUUGUGUGUGUAAAAAGAGAGUGGGAGAAGUAUGUUUUGUUGGGGCAACAAUGAUAUAGUAAAAUUAACUGUUAUUAUAAUUGAACAAAUAAUGUUUGUUGGAUUCUUAGAUCCUUUUUAAAGAUUAUGAGAUUAAGUUACUUUAGGGAUAACAGCGUUAUUUUUUUUGAGAGUUCUUAUCGAAGAAAAAGAUUGCGACCUCGAUGUUGAAUUAAAAGAUCUUUUUAAUGUAGCAGUUAGAAGGGAGAGUCUGUUCGACUUUUAAAUUUUUACAUGAUUUGAGUUCAGACCGGCGUGAGCCAGGUCGGUUUCUAUCUUUUAGUGUAUAGGAGGGUUGUUUUAGUACGAAAGGAUUGAACAACCAAAAUAUUUUUAUUAAUUAGAAUAAUAUUAUUUAUUUUUAAUUAGAUAUGUUUAGAGUAUUAUAAUUAAUUCCU